rnacentral:rRNA from 1 species
GAAAACUACAAGCAUAAGCUUAAAACUCAAAGAACUUGGCGGCGCUUUUAACCCACCUAGAGGAGCCUGUCCUGUGAUCGACAAUCCCCGCUAUACCUUACCUUUUUUAACUUAGCCUAUAUACCGCCGUCGUCAGCUUACUCCUUAAUGAAACAUUAGUGGGCAAGCUCAGCUUCUACCUCCAAACGUCAGGUCAAGGUGCAGCAUAUAAAAAGAGAAGAGAUGGGCUACACUGCCUGCUACAGGCCUCCGAAUUAUGUUUUGAAAUAAACCUAUGAAGCAGAAUUUAGCAGUAAGUAAAAAAUAGAGUGUUUUACUGAAACUUGGCCCUUAAGCGAGCACACACCGCCCGUCAUUCUCUCCUAAUUUAUACGCCAUUCAUUAAAUAAAAAGCUUCCAAAUAAUAAAGGGGAGACAAGUCGUAACACGGUAGGUGUACUGGAAAGUGCACCUGGUCAAC